rnacentral:rRNA from 1 species
UACGUAGGUCCCGAGCGUUGUCCGGAUUUAUUGGGCGUAAAGCGAGCGCAGGUGGUUUAUUAAGUCUGGUGUAAAAGGCAGUGGCUCAACCAUUGUAUGCAUUGGAAACUGGUAGACUUGAGUGCAGGAGAGGAGAGUGGAAUUCCAUGUGUAGCGGUGAAAUGUGUAGAUAUAUGGAGGAACACCGGUGGCGAAAGCGGCUCUCUGGCCUGUAACUGACGCUGAGGCUCGAAAGCGUGGGGAGCAAACAGG